rnacentral:rRNA from 1 species
GACGAACGCUGGCGGCGUGCUUAACACAUGCAAGUCGAGCGGUAAGGCCCUUUCGGGGGUACACGAGCGGCGAACGGGUGAGUAACGACGUGGGUGACCUGCCCUCAGCUCUGGGAUAAGCCUGGGAAACCGGGUCUAAUACUGGAUAUGACUCCAUGACGCAUGUUGUGGGGUGGAAAGCCUUGUGCGGCUGAGGAUGGGCCCGCGGCCUAUCAGCUUGUUGGUGGGUGAU